rnacentral:rRNA from 1 species
UUGUCCUACGGGGGGCAGCAGUCGAGAAUCAUUCACAAUGGGGGAAACCCUGAUGGUGCGACGCCGCGUGGGGGAAUGAAGGUCUUCGGAUUGUAAACCCCUGUCAUGUGGGAGCAAAUUAAAAAGAUAGUACCACAAGAGGAAGAGACGGCUAACUCUGUGCCAGCAGCCGCGGUAAUACGUAGGGAGCAAGCGUUAUCCGGAUUUAUUGGGUGUAAAGGGUGCGUAGACGGGAAAUUAAGUUAGUUGUGAAAUCCCUCGGCUCAACUGAGGAACUGCAACUAAAACUGGUUUUCUUGAGUGUU